rnacentral:tRNA from 1 species
GACUUGGUGAUUCAAUGGUAGAAUUCUCACCUUCCAUGCAGGAGACCUGGGUUUGAUUCCCGGCCAAUGCA